UAUAACUAUAAUCUCGUAUACCCUAAAAAAUUGAACCAUCCCUUCCUCUUCACCCGGGAACCUCUCUCUUAAUUCAUUGACCGUAAGGGAAAAAAUUUAUCUCUCAUAGUUUAACUUAUCAUUAGUACCUUUUGCAUCAUGGUUAAGCAAGUUCUACUCAAAUAAGCCCAAACCCGAAGUCUAAGUGAGCUAUUUAUUGUCUGUUUUGAACCCAAAGAUUAGUGUAGCAACACUUUCUCUAGAUCAAUAUAUAGAGGCUACAUACCUUCCGCACAAGACUAUAGCUGGUUAUUCCCUAGUAUCAUCUAAGUGACAAUAUCUGCCCAGAUUAUCUAAUUAAUUUAGGAUAAGCUAAAUUAAAUCUCUUGAUUUUUCAUCUUAAAGUAUAUCCCUGUUGGUAGGCUUAAAAUCAGCCAUCUUACCCAAUACGUUUCAGCCCAAAUUUUUCUAACCCUAAAAAUUAUAUUAUCCCCUAAAUAAGAUUUAAUAAAUGAAUAAUUUAAUCAAACCUACUUUUUAUUUUUAUUCUGCUUAAAUUAGUAUUCAUUUAUAAACUUAAUUCCAUAACCCUAUAAACCCUCUCCCCUUUGCUCAAUUCUCUUAUAUAUAAUUAGUGAACUCUGCAAUCUUUAUUAGCCCGACUGUUUAUCAAAAACAUUGCCUCUAGAGCACUUAUUAGAGGUCCAUCCUGCCCAGUGAUUAAUUUUUAACGGCCGCGGUAUCCUGACCGUGCAAAGGUAGCAUAAUCAUUUGCCUUUUAAUUGAAGGCUAGAAUGAACGGACAAACGAGGUUACCCCUUUACCAAUUAUAUCUCUUAAAACUUAAGUCUCAGGUGAAGACGCCUGAAUAAAAUAGAAAGACAAGAAGACCCUAUAGAGUUUUAGUAUAUUAAUCCUAUUCAUUAAUUUUAUAUACUUUGGUUGGGGCGACCAAGGAUUAUUACCAACAUCCUUAAUUUUAAAGACUAUAAUUCUUUCUCUAGACCCUUCUCCUAGAUCAUCAGAAUUAACUACCUUAGGGAUAACAGGCUUAUCUUCCUAAAGAGCUCAAAUUGAAAGGAAGGUUUGGCACCUCGAUGUUGGCUUAGAGAAACUUCUAAAUGCAGCAGUUUAGAAAAGUUAGUUUGUUCAACUAUUAAAUCUCUACAUGAGCUGAGUUCAGACCGGCGUAAGCCAGGUUAGUUUCUAUCUUCUAUUUCCCAUUUACUAGAUAUAUUAGUACGAAAGGACCAUACUAUCUUAAAUCUCUUUAUUCUCCUAGAUCUCCUCUAACCUCCUCUUAUCUUAUUCAUUCUU
rnacentral:rRNA from 1 species